UACAGAGGGUGCAAGCGUUGUUCGGAAUUAUUGGGCGUAAAGGGCGCGUAGGCGGUGCUGUAAGUCUGUAGUGAAAAUCUCUGGGCUCAACUCAGAGUCUGCUAUAGAAAACUGCAGUGCUGGAGUGUGGGAGAGGUGAGUGGAAUUCCCGGUGUAGCGGUGAAAAUGCGUAGAUAUCGGGAGGAACAUCGAUGGCGAAGGCAGCCC
rnacentral:rRNA from 1 species